AGGGUUGUUGUUGAGCGGAAGAACAUCUGCUUGACAUGCAGAAGGACCCAGGUUCAAUCCCCAAUAUCUCCA